rnacentral:rRNA from 1 species
GUAGGUGGCAAGCGUUGUCCGGAAUUAUUGGGCGUAAAGCGCGCGCAGGCGGUCCUCUAAGUAUGAUGUGAAAGCCCACGGGCUCAACCGUGGAGGGUCAUUGGAAACUGGGGGACUUGAGUACAGAAGAGGAAAGCGGAAUUCCAAGUGUAGCGGUGAAAUGCGUAGAGAUUUGGAGGAACACCAGUGGCGAAGGCGGCUUUCUGGUCUGUAACUGACGCUGAGGCGCGAAAGCGUGGGGAGCAAACAGGAUUAGAUACCCUGGUAGUCCACGCCGUAAACGAUGAGUGCUAAGUGUUAGGGGGUUUCCGCCCCUUAGUGCUGCAGCUAACGCAUUAAGCACUCCGCCUGGGGAGUACGGCCGCAAAGGCUG